GUUCUUCAUUGUCAUUCUGAUUUGAGGUGGAGUAUUACUGUAUUUUGAAGGUAUGUGAGAAAUAUUUAAGUUUGGUUGAUGGUUUAAAAGCAGUCCAUGUAGCAUUAUAUAUAGGUGCUUGUAGAGGAGUUGGUGAAUUUUUUAACUGAUUGUUCCAUGAGUCAGCUAUGGGUCAUCUGAAAUAACCAAAAAAGGUCAUGCAUAUGCUUUUUCAGAAUUUUCUUUUGUAUCAAGAAGAAAAAGGUUGUCAGGGAGAUGGGAGUGUCUUCAAUAAUCUUUUUGUUGAUUGAAAUUUGAAAUAUUCUAAAAACAAUCAAAGUGCAGUGCAUAUUCAACCACUCCCUUUAUUUUCUAAAUUCCUUUUAUAUCUUUUCCUCUUUGCUCGUAAGGUAUUGAAAGUGUCUUCUUUUAGCUGU